GGCUGAAUGCCAUUAAGAAUUAUAGAGGCAGCCAAGAGUGGUGCAAGUUCUGAAGUUGCUUUAGCAAUAGUUUCGCCUCCAGUGAAUGCAUAACUCAUCACAUCGCGAAACAUCAUCACUAUUAUGGCUGCCACUACAGCAAUCACAAAUGAGCUUAACGUCACCACCAAAACUGAAAAUGAGGCUGAUUUCGGAUGCCCUGCUCCCAACUCAUUGCUCACCCUCACACUUGCUGCCGCAUUGAACCCAGCAGCUACCAUGAACACCCAUCCAAGAAUUGUAUUGCAAACAGCUAGAGAGUCUAAUGCCACUUCAGGAUUUGGAAGCAAACCAGCAACUAAAACCAAAAUCUGAAAGUACCAAG
rnacentral:misc_RNA from 1 species